rnacentral:lncRNA from 1 species
CAAGCCCUUUUUAUUUUCUUUUUGUAUCGUUUCAGGGACCUAGCAGUCACUCCUGCACCAGGCAGCUCCCGUCAACAACUACUGGAGCCAGCAACACAUCCUUCUCAGGUCUCCGAUGGAAGGAGUGUCACCCAAGAUCACAAUUUCCUCUUGAAUAACCCAGAGAGCCGCUGCAGAGGAUCUGGUCCUGCCAGAAGGCUAUUCCUAAACUCCGCCGGUGCACCUGCUGCUGAAGGCCUGCCUGUUCUCACCCCUGCUCCCCACACUCGUCUCACUGAAGAUGUCCAAGCUGAGCACCAGGAUCCACGGGGAGCUGAAAACGGAGCGGACAGACUGCAAGAGAAUGAACUCCACCGUGACAGUCUUCCGAGGAAGCACAGCAAACCCAAGGCUGGUUCUUCUCACGUGCUUCAGCUCAGCAACUGGCCCGGCUCCCACUCCAGACCUGUCCUACCUCCAAUCCCACCCCGGAGGAAGAGCACCAACCCUUGACGGCCACUGCUAGCCAAGUCUUCGUCUCGGUCACACCCAAUCUUUCUGCCUAAUGGGGAUACUGAUUUUGAUAGAUUUUGCUUUUUUCAAAAGAAAUUAUAUCAAAGAUUAUUUCUAAAUCCCUUUCUGAUUAAACCGCCGAAAAGUUAUUUAUUUAUAACUUUAUUAAAAAGUAAUUUCUGCAUUUCCCAACACUAAAAAUGAUUUCCCCAGGCAUUCUCAGCUGGGAAAUGGUGUAGAUUUUUUUUCCUCACAGCCACAAGUCCACAUCUUCUAUUAAUUUCUUUCUUUCCUCCCCCUCCUAUUUUAUAGAUUUAAUUGCUGUGUGGAAGCAUCGGGGCUUCUGAUAAUAUCCCUGAUAUUGUAGGACUAGUGAAUUCUUUUGAAGAGGGAUUUUGUGAAAUGUUCAGUGUUGUUGGGAGUGAAAACUAGUUGCAAGUCUAUUUUUAAUAAAAUGUGUUUUUUUUUGAAGAGUUGAGACAAUUUUUUCAUUUGCAUGUGUUUUUAAACAAACAAGCUAGUACGGAGUCACCAGAAAAAAAAAUUACAAUUUCAGAGAACUGGCUGAAGCUGUAAGCACCAUGUGAAGAUUUGUUUGUUUUUUUCUAUAUGUGGAACAGAGCUCUGACAAGUAAAUAAAACUCUCAAGUCGAUGUUUGUCCUGAUUAAUUUUCAUUACCAUCCAUUUAGGGAACAGAUCGUGGGGCCCUUUGCCUGAGCAGCCUCCCCCGAGGAAGGCUGUUUGCUAUUUUUGUUACAGCGAGGGUCCCGAGAGGUCUUUGCGUGCACAGGAGACGACGUGACUCGUUCCCAGAGCACGGGGCUGUGUCCGUGGGAUGGCUCUGGUUUACCUCGUUGUGCCUGUUCACAAGGUGUUCGAGGGUUUUCGUUGUUUAAAUGGGAUGAGCUGAACAAAGCCACGCAGCUCCUGGUAAGGGAUAGGUUCAGAUAGCCUGACCUUAAAUUCCAGUGCAGCCUGUAAAACAGCUCAGCCUUUUAUUAAGCCGUUUCCUUUCCACGCUGCAGCUGGCUGGAUCCUCGAGCUGAAGAACAACAGCUCUGCUCAGGCACCAGCUUUUAUCAUUUUAUUUUUUUUUUGGCAGAACAAAAAGCGGGUUCAGCAGGAGUUCAGGCAGCUGAAGCUGCAGCCUUGAACCUUGGUGGCUUUGACCACAGCAUCUGAGCGAGGUGAGCGCUGGACCCAACGCUUCCUGAGCCCCUCAACUUCUCCAACAAAUCCCUCAGGGCCACUUUGCCUCUGCAAACACCUUCAGCUUUGCCUCUGCAAACAACUUCCCAGCUGUCAGCCUGGCUGGCACGGCCGGCUGCACACUCGAUUGACGUGGCCGCUGAUCAGCCGAUGGUUUUUUGCUGUUUUACAGGCGCGAGGAGCUGUGCUGGCAUCGUGGUUAAUGAGUAUCUGCAAGGUGCCCAGUGUUUCGUGGUGAUCACAGCUCCCAGCUCAGCCUGGUGACAGAACUGUGCACAGGGAUUAAAAAAAAAAAAAGGCCUUGGACAUCUUCAGCAAGCGAGCACAGCGAUGCCGAGUGCUUGUGUUUACAGCAAAGGUCUUAAACAUCGAGCUCUCCAGUGCAGGAAUUGCCUCUGUUUUGGUUAUGUAGGUGCAGUAUAAAUAUGCUUCUAUAUUGCUCAGCUGGAAAAACAAAAACCUUCUGCCAUGAUGAAAAAUGAGCACUUGAUGAGGAUUUUGGUUAUCUUACUGCAUUGUAGCAGACAAUUAAUGGCUGAAGAGGCUCUCCCAGCUUGCAACCAAUUCCUUGACCCUGAGCUUUCAAAACCCA